UUAAGUUCAGCGGGUCUUCCUACCUGAUCCGAGGUCAAGAGUGUAAAAAUGUACUUUUGGACGUCGUCGUUAUGAGUGCAAAGCGCGAGAUGUACUGCGCUCCGAAAUCAAUACGCCGGCUGCCAAUUGUUUUGAGGCGAGUCUACACGCAAAGGCGAGACAAACACCCAACACCAAGCAGAGCUUGAAGGUACAAAUGA
rnacentral:misc_RNA from 1 species